UUUUUUUUUUUUUUUGGCCGCACCCAUGGCAUGUGGAAGUUCCCAGGCCAGGGAUUGAACCCAUGCCACAGCAGCGACCUGAGUCACUGCAGUGACAACACCAGAUCCUUAACCUGGAGAGCCACAUGGGAAUGCCUCACUUGGUAUACUUUUGAAAUUAAUUUAUAUAAUUUAUCUGUAGUUUCUUUUCAAUGGUAAGUGGUAUUCUAUUUUUUCCCCCUUUUAAAGGCCGCUCCUGUGGCAUAUGGAAGUUCCCAGGCUAAAGGUCGAAGGAGAGCUGCAGUUGCCAGCCUAUGCCACAGACCCAGCAACACGGGAUUCAAACCACAUCUGCAACAUAGGCCGUGGCUCACCGCAAUGCCAGAUCCUUAACCUGCUGAGUGAGGCCAGGGAUCAAACCCAUAUCCUCAUGGAUACCAGUCAGGUUCUUAACCCUCUGAGCCCCAAUGGUAACUCCCAGUAGCAUUCCAUUGUAAGGAUAUAACACCAUUUAUUUAUCCUCUCAUCAGUUGAUAAAUAUCUGGGUUACUUACAAUUUGGGGCUAUCAUGAAUAAGGCUGCUAUAAAUAUUCAUGCACAAGUUUUUGUGUGAACAUAUACUUUGUUCUCUACCAAAAAUGACAUAUUUCUCUGUGGUGCUUCCUGCUAUUCCAUGCAAAAAAUAAGUAUUCUCUUGCUAUUGAUUUACUAGAGAAGCCUGUCUUCCCCACACAAUGAUUUGUGAGACACAGAUUAGAAAAUUGCACGAAGUCACAAAACAUAAUUAAGUCUUUUGUGUGUAACUUUCCCUUACUACACGCCAAGCAUUAGGCAGAGCCUGGCGUAAGCAUUUUGUCAUGUAUCUCUCACAGCAGCCUUGGGAGGAGACAGUGCUGUUAUUCUCAUUUCCUACUGGGGAAGCUGGACUCAGGGAGGCGAAGGGAAUGACCCAAGGUACACCCAGCAACAGGGUCCACCAGGCGUAACGUACAUCCCAAGGCUCGGGCUUGAGGCCUGGCUCCACAACUAACUUGCCAUAGGCUUUCCCUGGGCCUCAGUCUGACGGUUCACUCAGCAUCACAGAUCUCUGAGACCCUUCUGGAAAAUCCUGGCUUCAAAUGCUCUGCUCCCACAAAUAAUCAAAACGUCCAGGAAAUACCAACAUUUCACCCAGCCACAGCAGAAAGGCUGGACAAGAAACCCAGCCUGCAAAGCUAGGUGUAAAGUUUUCUGACUUAAUUGCUGACCCCACACUACUUUCAAGUUAGCCUGGGUUUAGGGAAAUCCUUUAAGGGGUCUACCAAAGUAGACAGAACCUUGAUCCUUGAGAAGCCAAGGCAACAAGGACAACAAAAGCAGCCAGUAAAUGUCUCUGCAGAAAGCAGAGGGGGAGAUUUAGUUUUGCUCUAGGGAGGAAGGGGGUGAGGAGAGACAGAUGAGCCUAGAAAUGGAGGGGAGAGGAGCAGAUGAUGGAAGGCUGGUUACUGUUGGGCCAUGACAAGCCUUCCCGUAGCUGAGGCACCAGAGGAUGCCCAUGGAGAGAGAAGCCCUCUGUGUUUCUGUGAAGUAUGGCUUCCCUCUUACCCCCCUGCAGUAAAUGCUUACUUGACUUGUAUUAGGCAAAGGGGGAGGGGAGACUGAGGGGAGACACUGGGAGAGGUGAAAGUGGAAGGGACUGAAAUGUGAAGACUACAGAACCAGGGCACGCUUGUAGGGUAAGCAAGUUCGAGGCCAAGAUGAGGGAUGAGAAUGUCUAGCAAUCUGCAGGCAUCCUGAGAGGGGCUGGGGACUUCCCCAGAGGACAGACUGGAAUUUCUGCUGGUCUCAUGAAGACCCAGGGCUGGAAGAUCUGGCUGCCAUAGAACACUUGGGUGAGUCUGGAAUGACUGAGAACACACAGGAGCUAGAAGAAUACCUGGAGGUGCACCUUCCAGAGGCAGGGCAGCUGGGAGGGGUUAGGAACAAAGGCUUGGGAAUCAGAUUGACUGAAUUUAAAAUUCUAUUCCUACUGGGGAAAUAACUAUUCAAAAAUAAUAAUAAUAAUAAUAAUAAUAAUAAAUCCUAUUUCCUAGGAGUUCCCUUGGGGCACAGCAGGUUAAGGAUCUGGCAAUGUCACUGCAGCAGUUUGGAUCACUGCUAUGGCAAAGGUUUGAUCCCUGGCCCAAGAACUUUCACGUUUCAGAUGGGACCAAGUAAAUAAUAAAGAAUGUUUUUUCGGGGGGGGGGUUUUGGUUUUUUUUUUUUUUUUUUUUUCCAUUUUUUGGGCUGCUCCCGCGGCAUAUGGAGGUUCCCGGGCCAGGGGUCUAAUCGGAGCUGCAGCUGCCAGCCUACGCCAGAGCCACAGCAACGCAGGAUCCAAGCCGCAUCUGCGACCUACACCACAGCUCACGGCAACACCGGAACCCUGACCUACUGAGCAAGGGCAGGGAUCGAACCCUCAACCUCAUGGUUCCUAGUUGGAUUCGUUAACCACUGUGCCAUGACGGGAACUCCAUAAAGAAUGUUUUCAACAAGGUGAGAGAGAGAGAACACAAUUUUAAAAAAUUCUACCCCCUACUAGUGAGAAAAAGCAAUAUUUGAUUUUAUUUAAAAAAUUUUUUUGGAGUUCCCACCAUGGCUCAGUGGUUAACAAACCCAACUAGCAUCCAUGAGGACUCAGUUUUGAUCCCUGGCCUCACUCUGUGGGUUAAGGAUCUGGCGUUGCCAUGGGCUGUGGUGUAGGUCUCAGACGUGGCUCAGAUUCUGCCUUGCUAUGGCUGUAGCGUAGGCCAGUGGCUACAGCUCUGAUUGGACUCCCUAGCCUGGAACCCUCCACAUUCCAAAGGUGCUGCCCUAAAAAGACAAAAAGACCCCCCCCAAAAAAUUUUUUUUUCUUCAUUUUACGGCCACACCUGUGGCAUAUGGAAGUUCCUAAGCCAGGGGUUGAAUCGGAGCUGCAGCUGGGGCCUCGCCACAGCCACGGCAUCACUGGAUCUGAGCCACAUCUGCAACCUACACUGCACCUUGCAUCAUUGCUGGAUCUUUAACCCACUGAACAAGGCCAGGGAUCAAACCUACAUCCUUACAGAGACAACAUCAGGUUCUUAAUCUGCUAAGCCACAAAGGGAACAACAAAGUGGAACAUUUUAUAAUGAUGAAAGAAUCAAUUCAUCAGAAAGAUAAAAGAAUUUUAAACAUAUAUAUACCUGAUGAAAGAGCACCAAAACAAGAAAAUAAGUGAAAACCAAGAGAAUCGAAGGGAGAAGAAGACAAUUCAACAAUAAGAGUUGGGCACUUGAGCAUUCUCUUGUGGCAGUGUAGGUUAAGGAUCCAGCAUUGUCACUGCUGUGGCUUUGGUCACUACUAUGGUGCAGGCUCAAUGCCUGGUACAGGAACUUCCACAUGCUGUAGGCGAAGCCAAAAAAAAGUAGCUAGGCACCUCAAUGCCCAACAUUCAAUAAUGGAUGGAAUAACCAGGCAAAAGGUCAACAAGGAAACAGAAGACUUGAACAAUACUAUAAACCACCUAGACCUAAUAGACACCUACAGAACUCUCCACCCAACAAUCACAAUACACACUCUUCUCAAGUGCACAUGGAACUUCUCUACAAUAGACCAUAUGCUUGGCCAUAAAACAAACCUCAGUAGGGAGUUCCCAUGGCUCAGUGGUUAACGAACCUGACUAUCCAUGAGGAUGCAGGUUCGAUCCCUGGCCUCACUAAGUAGGUUAAGGAUCUGGCAUUGACAUGAGCUGUGGUGUAGGUCGCAGACACAGCUCAGAUUCCAAGUUGCUGUGGGUGUGGUGUAAGCUGGCAGCUACAACUUCAUUGGACCCCUAGCCUGGGACCUCCAUAUGCCCCAGGUGUGGCCCUAAAAAGAUAAAAAACAAAAACAAAAAAAAGGGAGUUCCCUCGUAGUACAGCAGGUUAGGGAUCUGGUGUUGUCACUGCAGCAGCUCAGGUCACUGCUGUGGUAAAGGUUCAAUUUAUCCAUCACCUGGGAACUUCCACAUGCUUCAGGUACAGCCAAAAACCAACCAAAUAAACCUCAAUAUAAUUAAAAGGACUGAAAUAAUACAAAACUGUUCUCUGAGCACAAUGCAGUGAAAUUAGAAAACAAUGACUGAAAGAAAUUUGGGGAAAUCACAAAUAUAUGGAAACUAAACAUAUUCCUAAAUAAUCAACGAAUGAUGCAAAGAAAUAACAAGGGAAAUUUCUUAAUAUAAAAUGAAUGAAAACAUCAAAACUUAUGGGAUGUAGCUGCAACAGUGCUUGAAGAGAAACUCAUAGCUGUAAAUGCUUUUUUUGAAAAAGAAGAGAUUUCAAAUAAUAACCUAAAAGAAGUGAACAUUAAACAUAAAUCAAACAGAGGAAAGAAAUAAUAAAGAUUAAAGCAGAAAUUAAUGAAAUAGAGAACAGGAAAACAAUAGAGAAAAUUAACAAAAAUUAAGAUGGUUCUUUGAAAAGAUUGUUAAAGACUGACAAACCCUCAGCUAGACUGACCAAGACAAAAGGGAGAAGACUUAAAUUACUAGACUCAGAAACAGAAGAGGAGACAUUACUACUGACCUUACAGAAAUAAAAUCCUAUCUCUUCCAAUGACCCGAGUGUAAUCACAGGCAGGUUACUUGAACUAUCUGUGCUUCCAUUUCCUCUAUUCAAAAAGAUACCAGUUUCUGGAGUUCCUGUCAUGGCUCAUUGGUUAACAAAUCUGACUAGGAACCAUGAGGUUGCGGGUUCAAUCCCUGGCCUUGCUCAGUGGGUUAAGGAUCUGGCACUGCUGUGAGCUGUGGUGUAGGUUGCAGAGGCCGCUCGGAUCCCACGUUGCUGUGGCUCUGGCAUAGGCUGGCGGCUACAGCUCCAAUUGGACCCCUAGCCUGGGAACUUCCAUAUGCCGCAGGUGUGGCCCUAGAAAAGACAAAAAAAAAAAAAAAAAAAAAGAUACCAGUUUCUCAAAGAGUUAUGACAAGUAAUGGAAAGGAUUUGUGUCUAGUACCUAGUCAUGCUCAAUUAAUCACAGCCACUUCUCUAGUUGAUAACAUCAAUCUUUUCCUUUCCCUCUACAUCCAGUCCUUCAGCCCAUCUGAUUUUUUGGCUCUACUUUUAAAAUAUAUUCCAGAAUCGAUAGUUUCUCACCUUGUCCAUCCCACCCCUAGUUAGUCCAAGUCACCAGUCUCUCUCUUUGGGUUAGGACAACAGCCUAGUUGUCUCUAUUCCUACCUCCUCCUUCAGUCUGUUCUCUACACAACCACCAGAGGCAUGUUUUUAAAAUGGGAUGAUGCUGGAGUUCAUGGUGGCCUAGUGGUUAAGGACUCAGCAUUGUCACUGCUGUUGCUCAAGUUACUGCUGUGGCUGGGGUACAGUCCCUGGCCCUUGAACUUUCGCAUGCUGAGGGGAUGACCAAAUAAAUAAAUUAUUUUUUUAAUUUUUUCAGGAGGGGUUUCUCAGGGCUACCCUGAGAGGCUGUCUCCCGGGCUUAAGUCCUAAUUUCACCCCAAAUAAAACUUAACUCUCAACUUUAAAAAAAAAAAAAAAAAAGGAAUGAUGGCUCAGAAAACUAAAUAUAGAACUACCAUUUGACCAGCAAUCCCACUCCUGGGUAUACAUCCAGACAAAACUCUCAUUGAAAAAGAUACAUGCACCCCUAUGUUCAUUCACAAUAGCCAAGACAUGGAAACAACCUAAAUGUCCAUCGAAAGAUGAAUGGAUUAAGAAAAUGUGGUAUAUAUACACAAUGGAAUACUACUCUGCCAUAAGAACAAAAUAAUGCCAUUUGCAGCAACAUGAAUGGAGCUAGAGACUCUCAUACUAAGUGAAGUUUCACAUCAGAAAAAGAAAGACAAAUACUGUAUGAUAUCACAUAUUUGGAAUCUAAUAUAUGGCAUAAAUGAGCUUUCCACAGAAAAGAAAUGUAUGGACUUGGAAAACAGACUCAUGGUUGCCAAGGGGAAGGGGGAGGGAGUGAGAUGGACUGGGAGUUUGGAGUUAGUAGGUACCAACUACUGCAUUUGGAAUGGAUAAGCAAUGAGAUCCUGUUGUAUAGCACAGGGAACUAUACCUAGUCACUUAUGAUGUAACACGAUAGAGGAUAAUGUGAGAAAAAGAAUGUAUACAUAUAUAUGUAUAUCUGGGUCACUUUGUUGCACAGCAGAAAUUGAUAUAACAUUUAAAUCAACUGUAAUAGAAAAAAUAAAUUUUUUUUUAAAAAAGUAAUGAUACUUGAGUUCCCAUUGUGGCUCAGUGGUAACAAACCCAACUGGUAUCCAUGAGGAGGCAGGUUCCAUCCCUGGCCCAUUUCAGUGGGUUAAGAAGCCAGCACUGCCAUGAGCUGUGGUGUAGGUCACAGACAUGACUCAGAUCUGGCAUUGCUGUGGCUGUGGUGUAGGCGGGCAACUACAGCUCCAAUAGACCACUAGGCUGAGACCUUCCAUAUGUUGUGGGUGUGGCCCUAAAAAGACCAAAAAAAAAAAGUAAUGAUGCUUAUGUAUCCAUCUUCUGCUCUCAACGCUCCAAUGACAUCCCACUGUGUAUGGAACAAAAUACACACUCCUUGCUUGGGCCCACCAGGCCCAGUAUCAUCUGGCUCCGGGUACCACUCUCCCCUUUGCCUACAGGGCUCCAGCCACACUAUUCUUGUUAUUCCUCAAACUCACUGACUCAGUGACAGUGUACUUCUAUCUCAGAGCUUUUGCUCUUGGUAUUUCCUCUGCCCACAAUUCCCCAUCUCUAAAGACCCAUGCAUGCUGGGGUUCCCAAUUUAUUGGGGUUCCCAAUUAUUAAUUUAUUCUACUCAUUGUCACCUCCUGAGAUGGUGCUCCUCAGACCACUAUAUCUACAGCAGCUCAACCUCUCACUCUCUCUGCCUUACUCUGCUCUAUUUUUCUUCAAUGGACUUUUCCCUGUGCGGUAUUACCUACUUAGUGCCUGUCUCCCUUCACUAGAAUGUAAUCUCCAUGAGGCACAGGCUUUACUUCACACAUGCUUUCACCUCCAGUGCCUGAUCGGAGCCGGGCCUAGACUAGAGUCUGGCACGUAGAACGUGCUUAAUAAGUAUCUCUUGAAACAGAAGAAAAAGCUCAGUAAUAGGAUUCCUAGACAAAUGGGACUUUAAUUUUCUUUCUUUUCUUUUUUUUCUUUUUUUUUUUUUUUUGGCCAUGCCUACAGCAUGUGCGAGUUCUGGGGGUCAGGGAUAGAACUCACACCAUAGCAGUGACAGUACUGGAUCCACAACCUGCUCCACCAUAAGGAAACUCCAACAAAUGGGACUUUCUCUUCGGUGUAGGAUAAAGGUGACAUCUCAACCCAGAGGGAAAAAAGAAGACAAGGCAACACAGGGUGAUGGGACCAUUGGGAAACCAUGUGGGGGAAAAAAAUGAAGUUGAAGACGAUGGACUUAUCACAGGUAUGUAACUUGGCUUCCUCCUGAAACUCUACUUUCAAAAUACAUAAGACCACAAGAAAGAGGAGAACCGGAGAAGGGACCACAACAAAAAAAAUUGAGGAUAGAAAAUAAAUGGACAAGUACUAUCAGAUGGCCAAAGAAAGCAGGCAAUAAGAAAGGGGGAAAUUUUAACCUGAUUUAUAACACAGAAUCCUCAAAAAAGACUCAGAAAUUAGUGGCACCUCUGGAAGAGGACAUGAAGAUGAGGCUAGGGUUGGGGGCUGCUAUAGAAGGGAGCUUGGUAGAAGAGGGCUUAAAAACAAUAAAAAUAGGGAGUUUCCAUUGUGACUCAGUAGGUUAAGAAUCUGACUAGUACCCAUGAGGAUGCAGGUUCGAUCCCUGGCC
rnacentral:lncRNA from 1 species